UCGAUCGGAGCCUCAUUAAUUAGCGCUUAUAAGUAUCCCAAAUGAUCUCCACCCCCAAAAUAAUAAGGUUUGUUGUUAUAUAUUGAUAGAAUAAUUUCUCGAAAAGCCUACAAUAUUGCGCAGUUUAACCUACAUAUACUAUAAAUAACUCAUCUAUCUACAAAAAUAGGUAAUGUUUAAGAUGAGCAGGAUGAUAAGGAGAGAAGGAAAUCCUUCAACAUCAUGUUAUCGAUAGGAAAUCUAAUGAUUAAAGACUAGAAUUGUGUGUGCGUGGGUAUUUACUUUAUUUACUACUUAUUAUCUUCGUUUUCCUUAAUUCUACAAUAGCAUUUUAUUUUUUAUACUUUUGGUAAAGUUAGAAAAUUUGUUUAAAGCUCGUAAACAUUAAUUUUAUACGUUUUCAGUUCUUGCGGAUGUCCACUUUCCUACCUCGAGUCUGUGUAGAAAUGGUCCUAAAGAGAUACGUCUCGAUGGACAAGAAAUUCCCGAUUUGCUUCGAGCUAUAUUGAAAUUAAUACCAUUAGAUACAUACGUGGAGAAACCGGUUUGUCUUAUGAAAUUGGAAAGCCAAGAC